rnacentral:snRNA from 1 species
GUGCUCNCUUCAGCAACACAUAGACAAAAAUUGGAACAAUACAGGGAAGAUUAGCAUGGCCCCUGAGCAAGGAUGACAUGCAAAUUUGUGAAGCCUUCCAUAUAUAU